rnacentral:SRP_RNA from 1 species
GCUGGGCGUGGUGAUGCACGCCUGUAAUCCCAGCUACUCAGGAGGCUGAGGCAGGAGAAUCACUUGAACCCCGGAGGUGGAGGUUACAGUGAGCCGACAUCAUGCCACUGCACUCCAGCCUGGGCAACAGAGUGAGACUCUGUCUCAA